GCCUUUCCUGCUUGCGUAGAUGGCGACCGGCGCACGGGUGCGUAACGCGUAUGAAACCUACCUGUUAUUAGGGGAUAGCCUUUAGAAAUGAAGAUUAAUACCCUAUAGUAUAAUUUAACCGCAUGGUUUUAUUAUUAAAGAUUACGAUAACAGAUGGUCAUGCGUCUUAUUAGCUAGUUGGUAGAGUAACGGUUUACCAAGGCAACGAUAAGUAGGGGUCCUGAGAGGGAGAUCCCCCACACUGGUACUGAGACACGGACCAGGCUCCUACGGGAGGCAGCAGUGAGGAAUAUUGGUCAAUGGAGGCAACUCUGAACCAGCCAUGCCGCGUGAAGGAAGACGGUUCUAUGGAUUGUAAACUUCUUUUAUGUAGGAAGAACUAUAAAUACGUGUACUUAUUUGACGGUACUACACGAAUAAGCACCGGCUAACUCCGUGCCAGCAGCCGCGGUAAUACGGAGGGUGCAAACGUUAUCCGGAAUCAUUGGGUUUAAAGGGUUCGUAGGCUGUUAGCUAAGUCAGAGGUGAAAUUUUGUCGCUUAACGAUAAAACUGCCUUUGAUACUGGUUGACUUGAAUUAUUGUGAAGUGGUUAGAAUGUGUAGUGUAGCGGUGAAAUGCAUAGAUAUUACACAGAAUACCGAUUGCGAAGGCAGAUCACUAACAAUAUAUUGACGCUGAUGAACGAAAGCGUGGGGAGCGAACGGGAUUAGAUACCCCGGUAGUCCACGCCGUAAACGAUGGAUACUAGUUGUUGGAUUAUUUCAGUGACUAAGCGAAAGUGAUAAGUAUCCCACCUGGGGAGUACGGUCGCAAGAUUGAAACUCAAAGGAAUUGACGGGGCCCGCACAAGCGGUGGAGCAUGUGGGUUUAAUUCGAUGAUACGCGAGGAACCUUACCAGGGCUUAAAUGUAGAUUGACAGGUUUAGAGAUAGA
rnacentral:rRNA from 1 species